rnacentral:rRNA from 1 species
GAUGAACGCUAGCGGGAGGCCUAACACAUGCAAGCCGAGCGGGAUUUGUUGGUUAGCUUGCUAACUAACAAUGAGAGCGGCGUACGGGUGCGUAGCACGUGUGCAACCUGCCUUUAUCUGGGGGAUAGCCUUUCGAAAGGAAGAUUAAUACCCCAUAACAUAUUGAUUGGCAUCAGUUAAUAUUGAAAGCUCCGGCGGAUAGAGAUGGGCACGCGUAAGAUUAGCUAGUUGGUGAGGUAACGGCUCACCAAGGCUGCGAUCUUUAGGGGGCCUGAGAGGGUGCUCCACCACACUGGUACUGAGACACGGACCAGACUCCUACGGGAGGCAGCAGUGAGGAAUAUUGGACAAUGGGUGAGAGCCUGAUCCAGCCAUCCCGCGUGAAGGACUAAGGACCUAGGGUUUGUAAACUUCUUUUAUACAGGGAUAAACCUACUCUCGUGAGGGUAGCUGAAGGUACUGUAUGAAUAAGCACCGGCUAACUCCGUG